AAUGAACGUUGGCGGCAUGGAUUAGGCAUGCAAGCCGAGCGAGAAGUGUAGCAAUACACGGAAAGCGGCGGAAGGGAGAGUAAUACGUGGGAAUCUGCCCUUAGACCUGGGAUAGCAGCGGGAAACUGCUGGUAAUACCAGAUAAUGUCUAUGGACCAAAGGUGUGAUUCCGUCUAGGGAUGAGCCCACGUCCUAUUAGCUAGUUGGUAGGGUAAAGGCCUACCAAGGCGAUGAUGGGUAGCGGGUGUGAGAGCAUGACCCGCCUCACUGGGACUGAGACACUGCCCAGACACCUACGGGUGGCUGCAGUCGAGAAUCUUCGGCAAUGGGCGCAAGCCUGACCGAGCGAUGCCGCGUGCGGGAUGAAGGCCUUCGGGUUGUAAACCGCUGUCGAGGGGGAGCAACUUCCAUAGAGUUAUCUUUAUGGAUUGAGUGAUCCCUGGAGGAAGGACGGGCUAAGUUCGUGCCAGCAGCCGCGGUAACAC
rnacentral:rRNA from 1 species